UACGGAGGGUGCGAGCGUUGUCCGGCAUCACUGGGCGUAAAGGGCGCGUAGGUGGCCCCUUAAGUGUGUGGUGAAAGCCCGGGGCUCAACCCCGGGUCGGCCAUGCAAACUGGGGGGCUUGAGCAUUGUAGAGGCAGGCGGAAUUCCGGGUGUAGCGGUGGAAUGCGUAGAGAUCCGGAAGAACACCGGUGGCGAAGGCGGCCUGCUGGGCAAUUGCUGACACUGAGGCGCGACAGCGUGGGGAGCAAACAGG
rnacentral:rRNA from 1 species